rnacentral:lncRNA from 1 species
AGGCAGGGUGACCUCUGCUAAGGAUCCCAGGACAGUGUUUUCUUGUGAGAAAACAGACAAGGGUGUGCGGGAAUCUGCCCAGAGGGUAGAGCCAGCCUCUACUAUUCUGCUAGGACCAAACUCCUCCUGAAGUUCAUGAGGACAGCUGCAUAGAGGAACUUGGUGAAGAAGGGACUUUUGGGCCAAAAAGACUCAAAAAAAAAAAAAAAAAAAAAAAAAAAAAAAAAGCUGAGUCAGGCCCCUCUGGGACUGCAGUGAAGGAGCCCUUUUCUGCCCUCACCCAAAAGAACCCCCACCCAUCCCCCACUUCUCACUGAGGAGGUGGAGGGGCGACAAGGGACUGGACAAGACGCCCCGCAGACUCUCCAGCCAUUCUCGCUGUUCCUUUUCAGUGGGGCAGGUGAAGAUGAAUUUCCGCUCCGGAGUGAUGACGAAAAACCUGGCCCAGCUCAAAAGCAUCCUGAAAAUGGAAGGCAUAGAGUCAUCAGAGGCUGCCUUGGGGCAGAAGAGCCCUUGCAGCCUGGCCAGUCCCAAGGUCAAGUUUGGUAAAGAGGUGUACGUGGUCCAAAGGUUAGGACUGAAUGGCCUGGGCACAGGAGUGACCUAGAACUGUACAUCUGACCCAAACAGGCCACCUCGAGCUUUGGGUUGCUCUGGGCUGUAUAGGCCAAAGGGACCAAAAGUUAGAGACUGACUGGAAGCCCUCUCUGGGCCAUGCUGGGCAGUACAGCAAGCACCUGCAAGAGGAUUCGCUGCCAGCUGCAGGUAUUAGUCAGCCUGAGAGAAAGAUGGCUGACAAGAGCCAUGAGAGUAUAGACCCAGUCACAUAUGACCCCCCGGUGUGGCUUCUCCAUCCUUCUCCUUUUCCUUGGUCAUGUUUGAGAUCCUGGUAUUAUGAUCUUUUUCUUUUUCCUCCCUCUUGUUUCCUCUUUUAUAAAAAAAAUACAUUUAUU